UACGUAGGGUGCAAGCGUUGUCCGGAAUUAUUGGGCGUAAAGGGCUCGUAGGCGGUCCAUCGCGUCGGGAGUGAAAAGCUGGGGCUUAACCCCAGUCCUGCUUCCGAUACGGGUGGACUAGAGGUAGGUAGGGGAGAACGGAAUUCCUGGUGUAGCGGUGAAAUGCGCAGAUAUCAGGAGGAACACCGGUGGCGAAGGCGGAUCUCUGGGCCAUUACUGACGCUGAGGAGCGAAAGCGUGGGGAGCGAACAGG
rnacentral:rRNA from 1 species